rnacentral:lncRNA from 1 species
GUGAACUCUGGGAUGAGUGGAGAUAAAUACAUGUGUUCAGGCCACACGUUAAAUUCAUGGUUUCCCCUCUCUACUUGAGUAGAACUCAAGGUGAUUUAAUCUUUUUCUGAAUUCUUGCAACAUCCUGCAAUUUAAUUUUGUGGCAAGNNNNNNNNNNNNNNNNCAGAUAGUUUAUACAUGAAUCUAUGAAGUAUUGUGAUGCUUUCAGAUAAUUGAAGGAAGAGAUGAAUGACCAAGACAUGGGAAGGAAAUAAGCUGGAAAAUCUUCACUGAGUGUUCAAAGGUCUCUCUUUUGUCCAGCAGUGCCAUCCAGGAGAUAGGACAUGAGCCACAGGUGUCAUAUCUCAUAUCUUCUUGUACCAUAUCAGAAACAAGAGAAGAAAAACAGAAAUGAAAAAAUAAACAGAUGAAAUGAACUUUUAUAUAUUUUAUUUGACCCAAUAUAUCUGAACUGUCCUUCUAACAUGUAAUCAAUAUAAAAAUUUAUCAAUGAGAUAUUUCACAUUUUGUUUUUGUACCUAGUCUUCAAACUGUAAUUUACACUUACAUAUGGUAAGCAGUAAACACUCUUUCCCCAUUUGUCCAGAUCUUCCCUCCUGCCUUAGGAUAACUUCUGUCUUCAUUUUGCAUGAAUCUUCCCAGAGUUUAAGUAUAUGGAAGCAAAUACAAAUAUUUUCCCUCAUUUUUACCAAAAAAGGCAGUAAAACGUACCCACUAAAAUAGGUUUAAUCACCUCACAUCUAAUGAUGUCAUUUUUCCUAUCUUGAUAUCUUUGUAGAAAUUUUUCAAAAUUCUUAUAUAGUCAGAUGUAGUUUAUCUAAUUCUUGUAUUAUUAUUGUUUAAUCUGCCACACCCGAAGAUCUCUUCAUUCCUGUCAUAUUUUGAACUCCUGGAGGCAAAAGCUAUAUCUUGUUUGUUUCUGACAGCACUUUACCUAUUACUGCACUUCCCACAUGAUCAGUAAAAGUGAGCUAAAGUGCAAAAGAAGAUGAACAGAUCUUUGCGGAAUAAAUGAGUUAAUAUUAGGAAAAUGUAUGCAACGUUGAUCCUUUUCCAGUAGCAGCCAAUUUCAUAACCAGGUACUUUUAAGAUCAUUAAAAACUU